GCUAUUGGAUCUGAUUAGCCAUGCGAGUUGAAAGGGUUUAGACCCUUAGCGGACGGCUCAGUAACACGUGGAGAACCUGCCCUCAGGUGGGGGAUAAUCCCGGGAAACUGGGAAUAAUACCCCAUAGGUCUCGGCUGCUGGAAUGCUUCGAGGCCGAAAGCUACGGCGCCUGAGGAUGGCUCUGCGGCCUAUCAGGUAGUAGUGAGGGUAACGUCCUCACUAGCCGAUGACGGGUACGGGCGUUGAAAGACGGAGCCCGGAGAUGGACUCUGAGACACGAGUCCAGGCCCUACGGGGCGCAGCAGGCGCGAAACCUUCGCAAUGCUCGAAAGAGUGACGAGGGGAUUCCAAGUGCCUACGCUCAGCGUAGGCUGUUCAGAUGCCUAAAAAGCAUCUGGAGGAAGGACUGGGUAAGACGGGUGCCAGCCGCCGCGGUAAUACCCGCAGUCCGAGUGGUAGUCGAUUUUAUUGGGCCUAAAGCGUCCGUAGCCGGUCUGGAAAAUGCCUGGGUAAAUCGUCUGGCUCAACCAAACGAAUUCCGGGUAGACUACCAGACUUGGGACCGGUUGAGGGAGAGGGUACUUCAGGGGUAGGAGUGAAAUCCUGUAAUCCCUGAAGGACCACCGGUGGCRAAGGCGCUCUC
rnacentral:rRNA from 1 species